UGGGGAAUAUUGCACAAUGGGCGCAAGCCUGAUGCAGCCAUGCCGCGUGUAUGAAGAAGGCCUUCGGGUUGUAAAGUACUUUCAGUCGGGAGGAAGGUGUCAAGGUUAAUAACCUUAUCAAUUGACGUUACCGACAGAAGAAGCACCGGCUAACUCCGUGCCAGCAGCCGCGGUAAUACGGAGGGUGCAAGCGUUAAUCGGAAUUACUGGGCGUAAAGCGCACGCAGGCGGUUGAUUGAGUCAGAUGUGAAAUCCCCGGGCUUAACCCGGGAAUUGCAUCUGAUACUGGCAAGCUUGAGUCUCGUAGAGGGGGGUAGAAUUCCAGGUGUAGCGGUGAAAUGCGUAGAGAUCUGGAGGAAUACCGGUGGCGAAGGCGGCCCCCUGGACGAAGACUGACGCUCAGGUGCGAAAGCGUGGGGAGCAAACAGG
rnacentral:rRNA from 1 species